rnacentral:rRNA from 1 species
AUUGAACGCUGGCGGCAGGCCUAACACAUGCAAGUCGAGCGAGCAGCGGUCGGGUGCGUAUUGCCUGGGCAUUGCACCGUAGCGGUGGAUAACGGUUGAAAACGACUGCUAAUACCGCAUACGGCUUGCUUGCCCCGGUGGGAUUAGCUAGUUGGUGAGGUAAUGGCUCACCAAGGCGACGAUGCCUAGCUGGUCUGAGAGGAUGAUCAGCCACACUGGAACUGAGACACGGUCCAGACUCCUACGGGAGGCAGCAGUGGGGAAUAUUGCACAAUGGGGGAAACCCUGAUGGAGCAAUGCCGCGUGUGUGAAGAAGGUCUUCGGGUUGUAAAGCACUUUUAGCGGGGAGGCGUUACCUGCAGAAGAAGCACCGGCUAACUCCGUGCCAGCAGCCGCGGUAAUAC